rnacentral:rRNA from 1 species
UACGUAGGGUGCAAGCGUUGUCCGGAAUUAUUGGGCGUAAAGAGCUCGUAGGCGGUCUGUCGCGUCUGCUGUGAAAACUCAGGGCUUAACCCUGAGCUUGCAGUGGGUACGGGCAGACUAGAGUGCGGUAGGGGAGACUGGAAUUCCUGGUGUAGCGGUGAAAUGCGCAGAUAGUCAGGAGGAACACCGGUGGCGAAGGCGGGUCUCUGGGCCGAUAACUGACGCUGGAGGAGCGGAAAGCGUGGGGAGCGAACAGG